UGGUUGAUCCUGCCAGUAGUCAUAUGCUUGUCUCAAAGAUUAAGCCAUGCAUGUGUAAGUAUAAGCCCUUGUACGGCGAAACUGCGAAUGGCUCAUUAGAACAGUUAUCGUUUCUUUGAUGGUCAACUUACUACUUGGAUAACUGUAGUAAUUCUAGAGCUAAUACAUGCGUUAAGACCCGACUUCACGGAAGGGUUGUGUUUAUUAGAUACAAAGCCAACCUGAGUUCGCUCAGUCCUUGUUGGUGAUUCAUAAUAACCAAGCGAAUCGCAUGCCUCCGGGCGGCGAUAGAUCUUUCAAGUUUCUGACCUAUCAGCUAUCGACGGUAGGGUAUUGGCCUACCGUGGCGAUGACGGGUAACGGAGAAUUAGGGUUCGGUUCCGGAGAGGGAGCCUGAGAAACGGCUACCACAUCUAAGGAUGGCAGCAGGCGCGCAAAUUACCCAAUCCUGACACAGGGAGGUAGUGACAAGAAAUAACAAUGCAGGGCUUUCAGUCUUGUAAUUGGAAUGAGUAGAUUUUAAAUCUCUUUACGAGUAUCAAUUGGAGGGCAAGUCUGG
rnacentral:rRNA from 1 species